CAUUUUAAGCAGAAGCCAUCCGCUUCUCACCUUAUGACGCCUGACGGUUGUUAAUAAGGUUCGUACAGCAUUUGUUUAGUUGUAACUGUUGAUUUGCAGCGGAUGGAGUAUGUCCAUCCGUUUUUAGUUUUGGAU
rfam:Thermincola sp. JR, complete genome.